CAAUUCCUGAACCAUGACCGGGAGGUGGGGGAGGUACAGCUGGUGCUGAACCUUGACCUGGAGGUGGAGGCGGUGGAACAGGACCUGAACCACGACCUGGUGGUGGAGGUGGAGCAGGAGCUGAACCACGACCUGGAGGUGGUGGAGGUGGAGCAGGAGCUGAACCACGGCCUGGAGGUGGUGGAGGUGGAGCAGGAGCUGAACCACGGCCUGGAGGUGGUGGAGGUGGUGGAGGUGCUGAACCACGACCUGGAGGUGGUGGGAGGUGGGGCCGGGGCUGAACCACGACCAGGAAGUGGAGGAGGCGGAGGUGGGGAUGGACCUGAAAGGC
rnacentral:lncRNA from 1 species